rnacentral:rRNA from 1 species
GACAUAGGUGGCGAACGUUAUCCGGAUUUAUUGGGCGUAAAGAAUGCGUAGAUGGUGGAAUAAGUUAUUGGUCGAGGUCAAGCUCAACUCGGCGGAAGCUGGUAAUACUGUUCUACUUGAGGGCAGGAGAGGUUGGCGGAAUUCUGUGUGGAGCGGUGAAAUGCGUUGAUCUACAGAGGAACACCAAAAAGGGCGAAGGCAGCCAACUAUUCUGAUCCUGACAUUGAGGCAUGAAAGCGUGGGGAGCAAACCGG